AAUCAACGCUGGCGGCGUGCCUCAGACAUGCAAGUCGGACGCGAAAGGCCCCUUCGGGGGCCGAGUAGAGUGGCGCACGGGUGAGUAACACGUGGGUAAUUUGCCUUCGGGUGGGGAAUAACAGCCGGAAACGGCUGCUAAUACCGCAUAAUGCAGCGGCACCUAAUGGUGAGUAGUUGUUAAAGCAGGGGACCCUUCGGGGCCUUGCGCCUGAAGAGAAGCCCGCGGCGGAUUAGCUAGUUGGUAGGGUAACGGCCUACCAAGGCGACGAUCCGUA
rnacentral:rRNA from 1 species